AUGCUUGCUUCAACAGUACAUAUACUAAAAUUGGAAUGGUACAGAGAAGAUUAGCACGGACCUUGCACAAGGAUGACAUGCAAAUUUGUGAAGUGUUCCAAAAAUGC
ensembl:snRNA U6 U6 spliceosomal RNA